UACAGAGGUCUCAAGCGUUGUUCGGAUUCAUUGGGCGUAAAGGGUGUGUAGGUGGCGCGCUAAGUCGGGUGUGAAGUUUCGGAGCUUAACUCCGAAACUGCAUUCGAUACUGCGGUGCUUGAGGACUGGAGAGGAGACUGGAAUUCAUGGUGUAGCAGUGAAAUGCGUAGAGAUCAUGAGGAAGACCAGUGGCGAAGGCGGGUCUCUGGACAGUUCCUGACACUGAGACACGAAGGCCAGGGGAGCAAACGGG
rnacentral:rRNA from 1 species